rnacentral:lncRNA from 1 species
UUAGAUUCAGACAGUGAUAACUUCCUGUCUCUGAAGAAGUCUGCAAAGCCCCAGGAUAAUGGAGUGACCAAACCAGGGAAGGCCCGCACCGGGACCAAAGAGAUCUACAGGUCCCCCUCGAAACCCACCCCUGCGCCCCACACCAAACGCACCCCCACCUCUGUCCUGGACUACUUUGGCAGUGGGAGUGUCCAGCGCUCGGGCAAGAAACUGGUAGCAAGUACCAAGAGGAAAGCUGACCAUGAUGAGUCGCUGACUGAUGAGGUCAUCGCCCAGCAGCUGCAGAUGGACGAGGACAUGGAGUUGGAGAGGCUGGUCCACGAGGACGAGGAGUUUGCCAGGACGCUGGCCAUGUUGGACCAAGAACCACACGCCAAAAAGGCUCGUAAGGACUCUGGUGAGGAUCUGGGGUCUGACACGUCAGCCAACAAAAGCAUCGCUAACUCCUCCCACAGCAGCACUACCAGCCAAUCACAGUCCAAUGGGCGGGACCACAACCAGGACGUGAUCGGUCCGUCCCCUAAAAAGGUCCCCCCUCUUGUUAAAACCAGUUCCAAACUGGCCGUGAUGAAGAGAAGGGAGGUGGAAGAGGAAGGAGGAGGGAAGACAAAUCUGACUAUCAAAAUGCCCGUCUCUCCCAAAAAGGAGUUCCUAACCACUUCAAGCACAGACAGGAAGUCCAACACCAGUCCAGAGGAUUCAGAGAAGAAGCGAGGGAACUCCUCAGCCUUCCGUAGUUUCCUGAACAGAGACGGACCCAGAGCCCUGGGGUCUAAACCCAUACCCACUGGAGCAGAGAACUGCCUGGAGGGGUGUGUGUUUGUGAUAUCUGGUGUGUUGGAGAGUAUGGAACGUGAGGAUGCUAAGUCCCUGAUCGAGCGCUACGGAGGGAAGGUGACCGGCAACGUCAGCAAGAGGACGACAUACCUGGUGAUGGGCAGAGACGGAGGAGCGGCCAAGACUGACAAGGCGGAGGGGUUUGGAACUAAGAUCCUGGAUGAGGAUGGUCUGUUAGAGCUCAUCAGAUGUUCACCAGGGAAGAAAUCCAAGUACCUGAUUGCUGCCGAGGCCGAGGCCUUGUCUCGCACUCCCAAACAGUCCCCAAAACCCAGCCCCUCCAAACCUGGCUCGGCGUCGGGGCGAGGAGUCAGGGUGGGGGACAGCGUGACCCCCCCAGCGAGAGGUACAGGUUCAGGGGUCAAAAGAGGGCUGGACUUGGGGGGUAAGAGCCAAUCAUCUUCCUCCUCUGCCACUCCGUCUUUGCCCUCAUUCGCUGGUGAAGAUUUCAGUCUGCUGUGGGUGGAUAAGUACCGCCCCCAGAAUCUGAAGGCUGUGAUUGGUCAGCAGGGAGACCAGAGCCAAGCCAAUAAGUUGCUUCGCUGGCUGAAGAACUGGCACACCCACCAUGCAGUGGGAGGGUUCAGCAGUACUAAGGAUAACGGCUCCAGCUUCAAGGCAGCGCUGCUGUCUGGUCCUCCAGGGGUGGGCAAGACCACCACAGCUGCUCUGGUCUGUCAGGAGCUGGGUUAUAGUUAUGUAGAGAUGAAUGCCAGCUGUACCCGCAGUAAGAACAGUCUGAAUCUGAUCGCUGAGUCUCUGAACAACAGCAGCAUCAACAACUACUACACAGGUUCGUCUCAGACAGUCAGCAGUAAGCAUGUUCUCAUCAUGGAUGAGAUUGAUGGCAUGGCAGGAAACGAAGACCGCGGAGGAAUACAGGAGAUGAUAAGUCUGAUUAAACAGUCCAGGAUCCCCAUCAUCUGUAUGUGUAAUGAUCGUAACCACCAGAAGAUCCGGUCUCUGGCCAACUACUGCUUUGACCUGCGCUUCCAGAGACCACGACUGGAACAGAUCAAGGGUGCCAUGAUGUCCAUUGCUUUCAAAGAGGGUCUGAAAGUCCCGCCUCCUGCCCUCAACGAGAUGAUCCUGGCGUCCAAUCAGGACAUCCGACAGGUCCUCCACAACCUGAGCAUGUGGUCGGCUAAGGACAAGGUCAUGACCUACGACCGGGUCAAAGAGGACGCCAACAACGCACGCAAGGACAUGAAGCUGGGUCCGUUUGACGUGUGUCGGAAGGUGUUCUCCAAGGGGGAGGAGUCGGGUCACAUGACGCUGAUUGACAAGUCGGACCUACCUGCUGCUGCUGGUGGUGAUCUGAAGUCCCACCUGGUCCUCCUCAGUAAGACAGCUGAUUGUAUCUGUGAUGGAGACCUGGUGGACAGACAGAUACGGUCCAAACAGGCCUGGUCUCUACUGCCCACACAGGCGAUCUAUUCCAGUGUGUUACCAGGAGAGUUGAUGCGUGGCUAUAUGAACUCUUUCCCCUCGUUUCCCUCCUGGCUGGGAAAGUUCUCCUCCUGCAAUAAACACUCUCGGAUCAUUCAGGAGCUGGCCUCUCACAUGAGCCUCAAUGAGCCUGGACUACCUCCCUUACCUCCGCAUGUCCCUGCUGUGUCCUCUUCAGAGGCGCGGGCGGAGGGGGCUGGUCAGGCUGUCCAGCUGUUAGAUGACUACCACCUGGUCAGAGAGGAUGUGGACAGCCUCAUGGAGAUCAGCCUCUGGGGGGGCCAGCCUGACCCUUACGCUCAACUAGACCCCAAGGUGAAGUCAGCGUUCACGAGGGCCUAUAACCGGGAGACCCACCUGACACCCUACUCCCUCCAACCAAUCAAGAAGGGCCGUCGUGGCGGGGGAGUGGAGGCAGAACUGGGAGGAGAGGAGCAAGCGGAACAGCCUGAGGAAGAGGAGGAGGAGGAAGGUGUUGCAGCUGACGCCAUGAUCAAAAUUAUGUUAGGACACCAACCUAAACAAGAAAAACCACGCAGCCAUUUUACAAGCAAGGGAGAGGCGUCACAAAAAAACCAGAAAUACAGCUAA